rnacentral:tRNA from 4 species
GCACCCGUAGCUCAGCUGGAUAGAGCGUCGCCCUCCGAAGGCGAAGGUCACACGUUCGAAUCGUGUCGGGUGCGCCA